rnacentral:tRNA from 1 species
GGGGCUAUAGCGAAGUUGGGAUCGCGCCUGAAUGGCAUUCAGGAGGCCGUGGGUUCGAGUCCCACUAGCUCCACCA